UGCGUAGUAAGGGUGACUGGCCCGGAAGCGCAAAGGCGGCAGCCGGUCGAGCUGCGGCGUGCGCGGGCCGCCUCCUCAGUGGGCGGAUUUGUGUUGCUACGGGCGUGUGGUGUCCUCUCUCCGGGUCGGGAGCCGAGUCUAGAGGGGGACAACAUGCCAACUGCCAAGCAACUAGCUGACAUUGGCUACAAGACCUUCUCUACCUCCAUGAUGCUUCUCACUGUGUAUGGGGGCUACCUCUGCAGUGCCCGAGCCUACCGCUAUUUCCAGCGGCGCAGCUCUCAGCGCCAGGCUGCAGAAGAACAGAAGACCUCAGGAGUCCCAUAGAACUGGGGGUUUUUCUCCUGGAGCAGAGAGGCCUGAGGCGUGCUGUGGAAUGAUCUCACCUGCAAUCAUUUCCAAGUCAAGAGAACUAGGGCCUUAAUGGUUUUCGAAUCCUGCUGAGGAAAAAGUGCCCCCUAUUUUCUCUGGUACUGCCGUUUUGGGGAGGCUGUUGAGUCACAACAGGAAUGGGAGGAUGAGGCACACCUACAGAGAUUAAAUAUUUUGCCAUGUCUGUGUCUUGGUAUUUUUGUUUACUUAAAUAGGGGAUGAACUGCAGAGAUGGGGCCUUGACUACCAGUUUUCUACUGCUUGACUACCAGACUGGAUUUCUAUAUUUUGAACUCUUAGCUCCCAUGAAGGGGAGAUACGCAGUUUUAGGAGUAGCGGUGUCAUCUCAUGAUCUCAGAUGGAAGACUGUCCCAGCAUCUGUACAAAUCCCCUGAAAAGACUCCGUAAAGACCAGAACUCUUCAUUGGUCAGUGACCAUUCCUAGACCAAUUACUGUGUCCAGGUAAAGGGUUACUCUGGCCAGUUCUUGGCCACGCAUGCACCUCUCAGAUAAGGAAGGCAGAGGCCCUUGUUUAACAACCCCACCAAAAACGCCCGAAGUGGGGGAGGCAGAGAUCCCAGAGGGAAGAGUUGUUGGGCAGCCAGCCUAUAGUAAUGCAAUCCAACUCCUCAAGCGCAGUGGGCAUAGUAUUAGCACAGGGCUGAUUUCCCACUGUGCCAGUGCACAGGAAAUCUUCCUGCGGGUCUUUCUGCAAAGUUGUGAAGAGGAUUUGAAAACAGUGCAUUCAAGGCCUAGGGCUUGUGGCUAACCUCUGCUGGUGAGGCCUGUUCUGCGGACGACUUUACUGAACAAGAAAUAACAACUGUAUACAGAUGGCUGAGGUGAGGGGGUCUAGACUGGAACCUUACUACCUGUCGGUUUAUGCCGACCCAUAGGCCCUUUCUUUUUUUUUUUUUUUUUUUUUUUUUAAUUUAUUUAUGAUAGAGAGAGAGAGAGAGAGGCAGAGACAUAGGCAGAGGGAGAAGCAGGCUCCAUGCACCGGGAGCCCGACGUGGGAUUCGAUCCUGGGACUCCAGGAUCGCGCCCUAGGCCAAAGGCAGGCGCCAAACCGCUGCGCCACCCAGGGAUCCCCAGGCCCUUUCUUUAUAAAGCCAUUUCUUGUAGCUCUAAUGUCCAGUCUCAGAUAGUAGGAUACCCUCCCCUGAGUACUUUUCACAACUCAUUUGUUGCUUUAAACCUUCGAGGGCUCCCAUAACCUACCAUCUAAAAUGUAACUCUUCGACAUGAUAGUUUCAGGCUCUUCACUCUAUGGCCCCAAGUCAUCUUAUUCUCAUCUCCUGCCACUUUGAUCCAGCUCCAGCAGGUUACAGUUUCCUGAAAAUGGCACAUACUUUUUUAUAUUAGAAAAAUAUUUGAAAUGAAUUAUUCCAAAUGUAUUGAAAGCACCAAAAAUAAAAUAUUAUACCACUUAGCCA
rnacentral:lncRNA from 1 species